AUAAUCUCUGCUUUCAUUUCCUUUCUUUUUGUAUCUGGUGAUAAUUUUAAGAGUCCAAGUGUUUGAGAUUGGGUCCUAAGACCAUCACCCAGGCCCCCUUUUCAGAACUCCUGUAGUAUAUUCAGUCUGGACCCCUUAAAGUUUAAGACUUAAAUAAACAGUUACAUUCUAUGAGGCAGGGAGGGACGGUGAAAACUCAUUCAGCUCAAGUCCUGGAACGUGAGUUUCCACUGAGAGUGGAGAGGAUUUUAAAGUAGUUCUGUGGCUGUAAACACUUUUUGGGGUUCCUAGUCUCUUGAGAAUUUGCUAGAUGGUAUAUGUACACCCUCUCCAGAAAAGUGGACAUACAAUAUAAAAA
rnacentral:lncRNA from 10 species